rnacentral:rRNA from 1 species
AACGUAGGUGACAAGCGUUAUCCGGAAUUACUGGGCGUAAAGCGCGUGCAGGCGGCUUCGCAAGUCGGGCAUGAAAUCUCUCGGCCUAACCGAGAGACGCUGUCCGAUACUGCGGGGCUUGAGGGUAGUAAAAGAUGGCGGAAUUCCGCAUGUAGUGGUGAAAUGCGUAGAGAUGCGGAGGAACACCAGUGGCGAAGGCGGCCAUCUAGGCUAUCCCUGACGCUGAAGCGCGAAAGCUAGGGUAGCGAACGGG